rnacentral:rRNA from 1 species
UACGUAGGGUGCAAGCGUUAAUCGGAAUUACUGGGCGUAAAGCGUGCGCAGGCGGUUUUGUAAGUCAGAUGUGAAAUCCCCGGGCUUAACCUGGGAACUGCGUUUGAAACUACAAGGCUAGGGUGUGGCAGAGGGGGGUGGAAUUCCACGUGUAGCAGUGAAAUGCGUAGAGAUGUGGAGGAACACCGAUGGCGAAGGCAGCCCCCUGGGUUAACACUGACGCUCAGGCACGAAAGCGUGGGGAGCAAACAGG